ensembl:lncRNA
GGAGGAGGAGGAGGAGGAGGAGGAGGAGGAGGAGAAGAAGAAGAAGAAGAAGAAGAAGUGAGAAUGCGUGGUGGAGGAAUAGGGGGAAGAGGCCGAGGUGCGCGAAGACACUGUGCUGUCCCGAAUGAAAUUCAGGCCACAAUUAUAGACCAUGUCAUAAACCAUUGCCUCACAAUGGCAGAGGCAGGUCGUCGAGUGCAGCCUAAUAUGCCUCACUCUUCAGUCUCCUCCAUCAUCCAAACCUUUCGCAGGGAAAACAGGAUUGGACGACAACCUCAUGUGGGUGGCAGAGGAAAACUGCUCAAUGAACAACAGGAAAGAGAGAUUUGUAACAUGGUGAUGGCAUACCUGCUUGAUACCAUAGAGGACAGGGCUGUGGCUCCCCACACUCUCUAGCAGAUCAUUACAUGGAGAAACCUUUGGAAUGCAAGCAUGCUGAUCCACACAGGUAUGCACACAGGUGUACACAUGGGUAUUCACAGAUGCGGACUACAGCUUUCUUGGCUGCUGCCUCAAAGCACACUGUGCGCUGUCUAUCUUGCGUGCUGCACAAUAUCGUUUAUUAUUUAGUAACUAUUGAUAUCUAUGACUAGCUAGUUUAUUGUGAUGGUGCUUUUUUUUUAAAUUAUUAUUAUGUUGCUCUUUGUUGUUUGCUGUCUCCCCUGUUUUUUUUGUUUUUCUUUCUCUCCAUACAGGUGACCCAGGAGUUUUUUUUUUUUUUUUUCUCUCUCUUCCCCCCCUUCUCACCGUCUCUUCUCCCCUUUGGUUUUCUUUCUUCCUCUCCCCCUCUUUCUUUCAUUCUUUCCCCCUGUCCUAUUAAAAAAAAAAAAAAAAAAAAAAAAAAAAAAAAAAAAAGGAUGACAAAGGAUGAACUGAAGCUCCGCCAUCACGUGAUGUCACAUGCUGCUGUUUCUGAUGUCACUUCCAAAAAGAAAAACAAAACAAAACAAACAAAAAAAAACAUGGUGAUGGCAAAUAAUGCCAUCACAUUGAGACAGAUCCGUGAUGCCAUCCUUCAGGACAAUCAUAUAUUCCAGAAUAUAAACACAAUAAGCAUCUCCACAAUAGACCGGGUUUUGAAGAAGCAUCACAUGACAAUGAAACAAAUCUACAGGGUACCGUUUGAGAGGAACUCUGACAGAGUGAAGGAGCUGCGCUACCAGUAUGUAAAUAGAAUAAUGGUAUUGGAAGGACAUGAGACCCCUCACAUCCUGGUGUUCGUGGAUGAAGCUGGCUUCAACCUGGCCAAGGGCCGAAGACGUGGCCAUAAUAUUAUUGGCCACCGGGCCACAGUGGAUGUCCCAGGUCAGCGAGGGGGCAAUAUAACUAUGUGUGCUGCCAUUUCUGAAAAUGGUGUGGCCACUCACAUCCCCAGUCUUGACCCAUACAACACACACAAGCUCCUCAUCUUCUUGGAUCGCCUUUAUACCGAUUUUAUCCCUGAAAAUGAGAGAGGUCUCAUAGGGCCUCACCUACCUAUUUAUGUAAUUGUGUGGGACAAUGUCAAUUUCCACCAUAGCCCACUCAUUAGGGGCUGGUUUGCAACGCAUCCAAGGAUGGUCAUGGGGUUCCUGCCACCUUACUCUCCUUUCCUCAAUCCGAUAGAGGAGUUUUUCUCUGCUUGGAGGUGGAGAGUGUAUGAGCAUCAUGCUCAGGAUCAGCCGUCCCUGCUCCAUGCUAUGGACGCAGCGUGUGACGACAUUACAGGAGAUCAAUGCAGGGGAUGGUUGCGGCAUGCACGCCGUUUCUUCCCUCGUUGCAUUGCAAGAGAACUUGGCAUGAGAACUUUCUUUCCGUGUGAAUAAAAAAAUGGUUAUAAUUUCCUUGGUAGUGUGAGUGCAAUCUGUGAUAUCAAACCUUGGAGGCUACUCUUUUCUGUUGUAUAUUGUUGGUCCUCUGCCAUAGUGACAAAACAUCUAAAUAUUUUGUAUGACAGUACUCACACAAUGCCAAAGGGACGAUGCAUUUUGGGGGCACUGACUAUUCAGAUUAAAAAGAAAUGUAGUUUUGACACAUGAGUGAACUGUUUUAGGAGAGAUAUGAGCUUUUGCAGGUGGACCAUGUUGUUGUGAUCAACCAUCUUGGUUUAUUUUGACAAAAGCACCAAGAAUGAUGAGAAUGUCCGAUCUGUGUCGAGAAAUGAGCCAAAGCUAUUGAGAAGGAUCUUUGCCAUUUUGGAGACACUGACUGUUUAAAUGCGAAAGGGAUUUAGAUUGACGCCUGAGUGAACAGUUUUGGAAGAGAUAUGAGCUUUUGCAGGUGAGCUAUAGUGUUGUGCUAAACUGUAAGAGUGUUUUGCCAAAUGAUCUUAGAGUUUUGAGAAUGUAAUUUCUGUUUCAAGAAAUGAGCCAAACCAAUGGAGAAAAACUGUAGUAAAGUUGAAAAUGAUGCUGUUAUACUAACAAAAGAUGAGAUGAAAUAAAAGGCUUGUAGACAGUGGGCAAACUGGCCCUCACAGUGUCUGAAUUGGG